UACGAAGGGGGCUAGCGUUGCUCGGAAUUACUGGGCGUAAAGGGCGCGUAGGCGGACAGUUUAGUCAGAGGUGAAAGCCCAGGGCUCAACCUUGGAAUUGCCUUUGAUACUGGCUGUCUUGAGUUCGGGAGAGGUGAGUGGAAUGCCGAAUGUAGAGGUGAAAUUCGUAGAUAUUCGGCGGAACACCAGUGGCGAAGGCGACUCACUGGCCCGAUACUGACGCUGAGGCGCGAAAGCGUGGGGAGCAAACAGG
rnacentral:rRNA from 1 species